rnacentral:lncRNA from 1 species
GAUUAGCCCAGGAGUGUAACAAACUAUGAUUAAGGAAAUGGCUUUUCAUGUAUUAGGCGAAAUAAGUUUUACUUAAUCUAAACUCGGUACGAGAUGUGUAUUUUUAAUCACCUUAACUAACGAAACUAAAAUUAUGCCUAAAGUAGUAUGGAACUAAGUGGUCAAUCCGAUCCAAUGUGAAGUUUAACUGUUCAGUUUAAUUGAAUGAAGAUAUGUAAAGAAGCUGUUAAGAUGGCCAACAAAAGUAUUGAAAUGGAAUAAAAGUAUUGGAAUAAUAGAUGGAAUAAAAGUUUUAUUAAAGUCGUUUGUUUACAGCAAAACAUUGUUGGUACCUUUUAAAUAUAUUGUAUCUUGUACCUCCUGCAAAAGGUUAAAAAUGAGACUAUGCGGAUAAGGAGUAUCGUUAAAGAAGCUAGAGUGAAAGGUAAAGAGUACAUUGACUACAAAGGAAGAACUGUACCUGCUACUACUGUUGGAACUGAUUGCAGAUGCUCGAAGAAAUGUACGGAACGUCUAAAAAACCAGAGAUCGUUACAGACAAAAAACAAGCAAGAUGUGUUUCUACAAAAAAGGGAAAAAAUUAGGAAUGAAUACAAUCAGUGGCAAUGUAAGACUUCUGAUAAGAGAACAUAUCGAAAGUUAUCCAGUGAAACAGAGCAAAUAUGCUGGUAAAACUAUCAAUUAUCUAGAUGCUAGACUAAAUGUCAAAAUUUUGAACUCAAUGUUUAAAGAAAAACAUCCUGAAGCAAAAUGUAGCUACAAAUUUUUUCUAGGCUACUUUAACGACAACUUUAUGCUAAGAUUUGGCCGUCCCCAGAUAGACUCUUGUUGCAUGAUGAGCUUAAUUUAAAAUUACGAAGCCCUCAUCAAACUCCAAAAUGAAAGCAAUGAAUUGGAAACAAAACAAAAUGAACUGCAUGUCUUAGCAAUGGCAUUUGACUACAUGCAGAAUAUCCCUUUACCAAUGAUACCAGUCUAGAAAACCUUUUACCUCAGACAGCUAUCUGUUAACCUCUCCUCUAUUCACGAUGUGAAAUGCAAUGAAGGUCAUGUUUACGUGUACCAUGAAGGCACAGCCAGAAAAAGCCCUGAUGAGGUGUGCUCUUUUGUGUACAAUUACCUAAUGUCUGCUCCUCCACAGUUUACUGAAGUCCAUGUCAACUCAGAUAACUGUGGAGGCCAAAAUAAAUACCAUGCACUAAACAGAGUCUUUUUGGCUCUCACAGAUACUGGCCGAUUUGAUUGAAUCAAGCAGUACUACCGUAAUAAAGAGAAAACUGAAAAGGUAUAACAGGGUGUACACUGUUCACCAGAUAACUGAACUUAUCAUCACUUCUAGUACUACUGGUAAAUUUACUGUUGAAAAAGUCGCAACAGAAGAUAUUGUAAAUUUUCAAAAGUGGUGGCCAACAUUCUACAAAAAAUCUUGUAUUUUGGAAGAAACACAGGGAAAAAAAGUUCCUGCUAAGGAUAGGAUAAGUUUUGGAAUAAGUUCUCUAAUGCACUUCACUUACGGGACUUCUCCAGGUGUAUAUGUCUGUAGGCCUCUCAUUGAUGGGAUUUGGACACAUUUUGCAGAAACUCAACAAUGCCUCGCAUUGUUGAGUUUCUGCAAAAUGUGUUACUGAUUGGGUAAUAAUCCGAUAAAAAAGUGAAACUACAGGAUAUUAGGAAGCAAUUGCAAUAUGUUCUGGAUGAGUUCAGUGGUUUUUAUGAUGAACUCAUGAGCUGGCCAACAACUGACAAGGGGAAUGACAGGGAGGAACACAAUAUCCAGUGAGGUGUCUGAAAAAGGCUUUGUGAUCGGUCCUUUUAUACAUUGGGUGAUUUAAUAUGUAUAAUAGUUUUUUGUACAAAAAAUGAAUAAAUAUAUAAAAGACAA